rnacentral:rRNA from 1 species
CCCUUAUAGGUGGGGCUACACACGUCAUACAAUGGAUGGUACAAAGGGUCGCCAACCCGCGAGGGGGAGCCAAUCCCAUAAAGCCAUUCGUAGUCCGGAUUGCAGUCUGCAACUCGACUGCGUGAAGUCGGAAUCGCUAGUAAUCGUGGAUCAGAAUGUCACGGUGAAUACGUUCCCGGGUCUU